rnacentral:tRNA from 1 species
AGGUGUAGCUCAAGUGGUAGAGCACAUGUUUAGCAUGCACAAGGUCCUGGGUUCAAUCCCCAGUGCCU